ensembl:lncRNA
GCCGGGUCUCUGUGGGGCUGGGUGACAGCUGCUGCGGGGGGGUUCCUUACUCAGUGACAGGCGGCCAGCUCUGCUGUAGUGGGACCCUUCAUGAUGGCUAUGGGGUCCAGUGCUGUGGAGGCCAAAUCGUGGAUAAAACACUGGUGUGCUGCGGUGAUGCUGAGAGGGGUGCAGUGCAUAAAUAUGCUCCAGGUUUCAUCUGCUGUGGUCACGAAUAUGUAAACUCUUCAACAACUCUUUGCUGUGUGGGCAAUGAAGGAUAUCCCACAAUGCACCCUGCUGGCAAUGCCACGGUGACACUCCGCUGCUGUGGUUCAAAGGUCAUACAUCAGGAUCAGGAAUGCUGCAGUGGGAUUGGCUUUGACCCCCAACGACAUGUGUGUGCGGACAGACCCACGCCUGGUCUGGUAAUAGAGCACCAGUGUUUGCAGGGCGCUGUGUGUCCUGUGGCUGCAGCAUCUACAGCUUACUGCGGCUCCUGUGGCCUUGAUCCAUCUAUGACUGCGUGCACAUGGGUCCUGUCUGCGCACACACACCCUGAGACACAAUCCACAACAUACUCACCGUUCAUCAGCAUCACACAGGAAACUCGCACUGCGGACCUGUCUGCACAUACAAACAGAAGUAAUGACAGUUACAAACUGUUUGACUCACGCAGUCACGCACACACUGACAACAAGCAGCUGAAGGGAAGCAUGUGCCCAUCGCAUGAGGAGGUAGUGUACAGUGGAGAUGCCACCGUAUAU